rnacentral:snRNA from 1 species
CAGCCAUGUAGUGAGCGCAAAGCGAAGUAUUCUUUCGCCUUUUACUAAAAAAUACCGUGUGCUCGUGGGCCUCGUGGCAUUCGGUGGCAUACGUUUAUUUUUGGAGGGAGUUCCUUAACAGGAGCU